rnacentral:rRNA from 1 species
AAAGAAAGUAAGCAAGGGCGCAUGGCGGAUGCCUUGGCUCUCGGAGGCGAUGAAGGACGUGAUAAGCUGCGAUAAGCUUCGGGUAGGUGCAAAUAACCUUUGAUCCGAAGAUUUCCGAAUGGGACAACCCGUCAUUCUGAAGGAAUGACAUCUAUCCUGCAUAGCAGCUAACGCAGGGAACUGAAACAUCUUAGUACCUGCAGGAAAAGAAAAUAAUAAUGAUUCCCCUAGUAGUGGCGAGCGAACGGGGAUUAGCCCAAACCAAUGUUGUUACGGCAAUAUUGGGGUUGUAGGACCACGAUGUCGCAAGAAAUUUAGUGAGAAGAAUUCUUUGGAAAAUGAAACCAUAGACGGUGAUAGUCCGGUAUUCGAAGCUAAACGAAGCGUAGUGGUAUCCUGAGUAGCGCGGGACACGAGGAAUCUUGCGUGAAUCUGCCGGGACCAUCCGGUAAGGCUAAAUACUCCCGAGAGACCGAUAGCGAACCAGUACUGUGAAGGAAAGGUGAAAAGCACUUCGAAUAGAAGAGUGAAAUAGUCCCUGAAACCGUGCGCCUACAAGCGGUCGGAGCAGCGUAAGUUGUGACGGCGUGCCUUUUGCAUAAUGAACCUACGAGUUACUUUUUCCGGCAAGGUUAAGCAUUUCAAAAUGUGUAGCCGAAGCGAAAGCGAGUCUGAACAGGGCGAUUAGUCGGAAGGAGUAGACGCGAAACCAAGUGAUCUACCCUUGGUCAGGUUGAAGGUUAGGUAACACUAACUGGAGGACCGAACCGAUAAGCGUUGAAAAGCUUCCGGAUGAACUGAGGGUGGGGGUGAAAGGCUAAUCAAACUUGGAGAUAGCUCGUACUCCCCGAAAUGCAUUUAGGUGCAGCCUUGGGAAUUACUACUGUGAGGUAGAGCGACUGAUAAGAUGCGAGGGCUUCACCGCCUAUCAAGUCUUGAUAAACUCCGAAUGCGCAGUAGUUCGAUCCCAGGAGUGAGGGCAUGGGUGCUAAGGUCCAUGUCCUAAAGGAGAAGAAUCCGGACCAUCAGCUAAGGUCCCGAAAUAAUUGCUAAGUUGAACUAACGAAGUCAGAUUGCUAAGACAGCUAGGAUGUUGGCUUGGAAGCAGCCAUUCAUUUAAAGAGUG